rnacentral:lncRNA from 1 species
CCAUGUGAGCAAACAGCAAGAAGAUGGAUGUUUGUGAACAGCCAAGUGGGCCCUUGCGUGACAAUGAAUCUCUUGGCACCUUGAUCCUAGGUUUCCCAGCCUCUAGAACCAUGAGAAAUAAACACUUGUUGCUGAAGCCAUCCAGUCCAUGGUAUUCCGGUAUAGCAGCCCCAACUUGUGACUGAGCCACCCCUACGCUAUCGAGCCUCUGGAGAAGGAUGGAGAAACUGAGGCACGAGAAGAUUCAGUGAACUCCUCACAGCCAGUAAGUGGCAGGGCGGGGCUGGGAAUCUGAAGAACCUGGCUCCCGAGGCCAUGCUCUCAACCACUGAGCUGUCCUGCUUUCCAGAGGAGCCUGGAAACAGGUACGGGACCAGAGUCUCGAGGCCUCAGUUUGGUCCUGGAGUGGUGACCAUGGCAGCUCACCUUGAGAUGGAGCCUCCAUCCUCCUGAAUCCCAAGUGAACAGGCUUGGAGCAGCACCCCCAUCCCACCAGCCACGGACAUGCAUUAUUACGAGCCACCAAGAUCUGGAGGUUGUUUGUUUCUGCAGCAUAACUUAGCCUAUUCCUG